AUUGAACGCUGGCGGCAUGCCUUACACAUGCAAGUCGAACGGUAACGGGUCCUUCGGGAUGCCGACGAGUGGCGAACGGGUGAGUAAUAUAUCGGAACGUGCCCAGUAGUGGGGGAUAACUGCUCGAAAGAGCAGCUAAUACCGCAUACGACCUGAGGGUGAAAGGGGGGGAUCGCAAGACCUCUCGCUAUUGGAGCGGCCGAUAUCAGAUUAGCUAGUUGGUGGGGUAAAGGCCUACCAAGGCAACGAUCUGUAGUUGGUCUGAGAGGACGACAAGCCACACUGGGACUGAGACACGGCCCAGACUCCUACGGGAGGAAGCAGUGGGGAAUUUUGGACAAUGGGCGCAAGCCUGAUCCAGCAAUGCCGCGUGCAGGAAGAAGGCCUUCGGGUUGUAAACUGCUUUUGUCAGGGAAGAAAUCUUCUGGGCCAAUACCCCGGGAGGAUGACGGUACCUGAAGAAUAAGCACCGGCUAACUACGUGCCAGCCGCCGCAGUAA
rnacentral:rRNA from 1 species